rnacentral:rRNA from 1 species
GACGAACGCUGGCGGCGUGCCUAAUACAUGCAAGUAGAACGCUGAAGGAGGAGCUUGCUCUUCUGGAUGAGUUGCGAACGGGUGAGUAACGCGUAGGUAACCUGCCUUGUAGCGGGGGAUAACUAUUGGAAACGAUAGCUAAUACCGCAUAAGAGUAGAUGUUGCAUGACAUUUACUUAAAAGGUGCAAUUGCAUCACUACCAGAUGGACCUGCGUUGUAUUAGCUAGUUGGUGGGGUAACGGCUUACCAAGGCGACGAUACAUAGCCGACCUGAGAGGGUGAUCGGCCACACUGGGACUGAGACACGGCCCAGACUCCUACGGGAGGCAGCAGGAGGGAAACUUCGGCAAGGGACGGAAGUCUGACCGAGAAACGCCGCGUGAGUGAAGAAGGUUUUCGGAUCGUAAAGCUCGGUUGUAAGAGAAGAACGAGUGUGAGAGUGGAAAGUUCACACUGUGACGGUAUCUUACCAGAAAGGGACGGCUAACUACGUG